GUAGGUAUGGCUCAGUAGUGAGGGCAUUUACCUAGCAAGUGUGACAAAGACCCUUAGUUUAAACCCUAGUACCUACA
rnacentral:tRNA from 1 species